AAAUUGUCGAUGUGGCAACGUGCAUUCGGGAAUUCUGUCAUUUUGUUCUGGCUUUAGAUCUCCUCAGUUGGCUAAAUCUUCAUAAUUCCUUGUUUUAUUUAUUUUGUAUUUUCAUUUAUAACCAUUAGAAGUGAUAUUAGAUAUGCCUAACAAGUGUUUUUUGUGUGGUUUCACUUAUAUUGUAGGAGGUGAAAUUAGUCUUCACAGACUUCCAUCGAAUCAACUUGAACGAGAAAAAUGGUUGCAGAGAAUUUCUUGGAACCGACCGAUGUUGGAAAAAAAAAAUUAUCUUUGCUCAAAUCACUUUCCUGAAAAUUGCUUCCGAUUAAUGAUACUAUGAAAGAGGCUUAUACCAGGAAGUUUGCCUUCUCCUUCUGAAAUCAAAUUGGAAAUACCUCUGACCUACUCAGAAGGGAAUGGAACUAUUGAAGCACAGGACUGAAUCUGAUUCUAAAACACAAGAGAGAUUUGCAGAGCCGUAUCUAGGUACAAUUGCGCCUGUGGCAAUAUGUUAGACAGCGCCCCUCAUUUUCGAUGAUUUUUUUUCACCCAUUAUAUUUUCUUAUAAUAUUUUUUUAUUCAUAAUUUGAGCCAUAUGCUUUCGUUAAAGUUUUAAAAUAAUAACCAAUAUUAUACAGGGUGUAUAUGAUAUAGUUGUGAAAAAAUUCAGGGAGAAAUUACUUGUCAAAAAAUGGGGUGGGUUUUUCAUAUAAACUUUAUUUUUUGCGCCUCCAUCUCCUUAGCUGUAGCCCCCUAAAGAUGACUAGCGAAAAGUAGUUUUCAAUUCGUGAAAAGUUUAUAAUUGUUGUUUUUUUUUUUUGUUUCAUUCAUUUUAUAUUUGUACCAUUUCUCGAUAAAAUCAUCGUUUUGACAUCCGCCUAUUGGAUUAAUUUGAGAUCGAAAAUAAUUCCAACCUCCACAACUAAGACGUAUUAUUUUUUGAUGUUUUUUUUUCGAAAACAUAAACAAUAAAAGCAAAAAAUUACAAGAGACCUCAUUCGUUAAGAAUAGAUUAGUCUAUCCAAAAUUAAUUUACUCAUUGUAAAAUAUGAAUAAAGGAAAAGUUAUCGCGAAACAAAUUUGUAGGGUGGCUUUUUCUACCCCUUGGAAUCAUAGAGAAACACCACCAAAAAUUUUUUCGAAUGCCUUCUCGCUCGCAUGAAAUGUCAGCUCAACUUUAUUUUCGUGAAUUUUUUGGUUUUCAAGAGAAAAAUGAUGUCAAAACGAUAUUUUUUUGAGAAUGUUACAAAUAUAAAAUGAAUGUAACAAAAAAACAUUUAUCAACUUUUCACAAAUUAAAAACUACUUUUUCCACUAAGCUGGAGAGAAAAAGAAGCCGCCGCACUUCAAAAAUAGAUGGUACCGUUUGUCGAAGAAAUACCGACAAGUUUGAUAAAGUGCAAAAAACUCGUUAAAAUAGGGGUAAUAACACAUGUCGAAGCUCGACCCUAAUAUUUAUGAUCUGAAUGCGGCACUUUUGAACAUACCGACGCUCAACAGAUAUAUUUAUGACUAGAUUACGGCACGCUUGAACAUAGCCAUAUUUAUAUUAUUUCUUCCCUUAAAUUAAAGUUUUGCUGAUCUUGAGAUCAUUUUGGGCAAAUUCUAUGGAAGGCUAGCAAUAUUUUAAAUGUUUCCAGAUUUCUCGCCAUCGCUCGUUGCGAGGCGUAUAUAGGUAUAACAUGAAAACCAAAUUGUGAUCUUUCGAAGCUCCAAUAUUUUUAUCUUUAGAUAUUUUUGGGCGCCCCUGUCGGCCUUGCGCCCGUGGCAAGUGCCACCUUUGCCACGCCCUAGAUACGGUACUGGAGAUUUGAGACUUCAGCUACUUUUAACUCUCCUUCAAAAUCCGCAUCUUCUAGCUAUAGUGACACUAAGAACCUACGGCUUAUCAAAGGAGGUUUGCCUUUGGAAAUUAAAUUGGAAAUACCUCUGACUUACUCAGAAGGGAAUGGAAGUAUUGAAGAACAAGGCUCCACGGAAUCUCUAUAUGAUUCUAUCAUAAAAAUAAACAAUUGAGAUUUGACACUCCAAUUACCAAUGAUCCAGAAGAAACACUGACUUUAACCUCUCCUUCAAAAUGUGCAUCAUUUAGCUCUAGUGCCACUUCUUUCUCUGGGAAACCAAGAAUAUCCAAAAUGAAGUCGAGACGGUUUUUCUCAAAUCCCCGCUUAUAUUGGAGACUAUUCACAUUGUUAUUUGGAAAACCCUAAGCUGCGAAAGAAAUACUUUAGGUUGUCUCGACGAAUCCUGUCCAAUUUCAAGGUCAAAAAUAAAAUAUUGUGUGUGUCCAUCCUGAAGUCAAACAGCACCUAGUCAAAACUACACUUAAGAAAAACCUUGGGGUAUCUUUCCAAUGCCUAUGCCUACAAUUUGUAGUUGAUAUCUAUACUCAGGCUGAGAAGACAUUUAGGUGGACAGAAAGGGUUUUUAAUAUAUUCGAUAAAAAUUAUUCGAACUUGUUAUUAUGUCUGGUUCUCACUACAGUGUUGAUCCAAAAUUGUUCAAUGUUUUCAAUCAGCAUCUGUUUGAUGAUGAACCAGAGAUAAUCCAUGGUCCUGCUAUAACGAAAAUGAUUCUUAAUGAUUCUGGAAACUAAUUUCAAUUUGAGGAUUCAUCAUAAAUUGAGAAAUCGACAGAGUGCAAAAUUAUAUUUCAAUCGGUUGAGAAGUAGAUUGAUAAAAACUAUAUUUGAAAAUCAAUAAAAUUUUCUAAUAAUGUUUGAAACCAAUAAUCUCAUUUGUACUGUAUUUCUGUGAUAAAUAUAUUUUGUUGUUUUAUUGAACCGAUAGAUUUUUUUAAUAAUAUUUGUAAACCAAUUAUUUAUAUUCUGUAUUUCUGUGAUAAAUAUAUUCUGUUGUUUUUUCUAAUGUCUUUUCUCUCUAUUGCUACAUUCAUGACCUGUUUUCAUAUGAUUUAAUAAUAUACAGUAAUAUUUUCCUUAUAUCAAAUCUAGGAAGUCUUCUGGACGCAUUAGUAAUUUUAGU